AAUGCGGGACUCUAAGAGGCCCCGUAAUUGGAAUGAGUACACCUUAAAUCGUUUAACGAGUAUCAAUUGGAGGGCAAGUCUGGUGCCAGCAGCCGCGGUAAUUCCAGCUCCAAUAGCGUAUAUUAAAGUUGCUGCAGUUAAAAAGCUCGUAGUUGGAUCUGGGGCUUGAGGUCGCUGUCUAUCGUUUCGGCGAUGACGGUGAUGCUCAGCUCUGCUUGCCGGUGACUGUUGCGGUGUUCUUAAUUGAGCGCUGUAGCAGCACGGCACGUUUACUUUGAAAAAAUUAGAGUGCUCAAAGCGUGCUUGUCGCUUGAAUAAUGUUGCAUGGAAUAAUGGAAUAGGACCUCGGUUCUAUUUUGUUGGUUUUCGGAGCUUGAGGUAAUGAUUAAGAGGGACGAACGGGGGCAUUCGUAUUGCGGUGUUAGAGGUGAAAUUCUUGGAUCGCCGCAAGACGGACUACUGCGAAAGCAUUUGCCAGAACGCUUUCAUUAAUUAAGAACGAAAGUCAGAGGUUCGAAGACGAUCAGACUCCGUCCUAGUUCUGACCAUAAACGAUGCCGACCAGCGAUCCGUAGUGGUUGCUUUAUGGACCCUACGGGCAGCCUCCGGGAAACCAAAGUAUUUGGGUUCCGGGGGAAGUAUGGUUGCAAAGCUGAAACUUAAAGGAAUUGACGGAAGGGCACACCAGGAGUGGAGCCUGCGGCUUAAUUUGACCCAACACGGGAAAACUCACCCGGUCCGGACACCGUAAGGAUUGACAGACUGAUAGCUCUUUCUUGAUUCGGUGGAUGGUGGUGCAUGGCCGUUCUUAGUUGGUGGAGUGAUUUGUCUGGUUAAUUCCGAUAACGAACGAGACUUUAGCCUGCUAAGUAGUGUGUCUAUUGUGAUAUGGUAUACACUUCUUAGAGGGACAAGUGGCAUUUAGCCACGCGAAAUUGAGCAAUAACAGGUCUGUGAUGCCCUUAGAUGUCCGGGGCCGCACGCGCGCUACACUGGAGAAGUCAGCGUGUGUUAUCCAAGUCCGAAAGGAUUGGGUAAUCCGUUGAACCUUCUUCGUGCUUGGGACUGUGGCUUGGAACUAUUCCACAUGAACGAGGAAUUCCUAGUAAGUGCAAGUCAUUAGCUUGCGUUGAUUACGUCCCUGCCCUUUGUACACACCGCCCGUCGCUACUACCGAUUGAAUGGUUUAGCAAGGUCCUCGGAUCGUGGACGUAGGGGCACGCAAGUGUUUCUGCGUUUUGCGAGAAGACGACCAAACUUGAUCAUUUAGA
rnacentral:rRNA from 1 species